UACAGAGGGUGCGAGCGUUAAUCGGAAUUACUGGGCGUAAAGCGUGCGUAGACGGUUAUUUAAGUCGGAUGUGAAAGUCCCGGGCUCAACCUGGGAAUUGCAUUCGAGACUGAAUAGCUAGGGUACGGUAGAGGGAAGUGGAAUUUCCGGUGUAGCGGUGAAAUGCGUAGAUAUCGGAAGGAACAUCAGUGGCGAAAGCGACUUCCUGGACCAGUACCGACGUUCAGGCACGAAAGCGUGGGGAGCAAACAGG
rnacentral:rRNA from 1 species